rnacentral:rRNA from 1 species
CGCCCCAUCAAUUGCGAUGGUAAGGUAGUGGCUUACCAUGGUUGCAACGGGUAACGGGGAAUCAGGGUUCGAUUCCGGAGAGGGAGCAUGAGAAACGGCUGCCAGAUCUAUGGAUUGCAGCAGGUGCGAAAAUUAUCCACUUUUGGCAUAAAGAGAUAGUGAUGAUAAAUAACGGAUCUGGGCAUUUGUUCAGAGAUCGUAAUGAAAUAAUCGUAAAAGCUUUAUUGAAAGCAAUUGGAGGGCAAGUCUGGUGCCAGCAGCCGCGGCAAUUCCAGUUCCAAUAGUGUAUACUAAAGUUGCUGCAGUUGAAAAGCUCGUAGUUGGAUCUCGGUUUGCUGGCGCACAAGGUGCGCAAGUAGGCCUGUGCUGUAGUUGAGUGCUACGGCUUUACCUUGAACAAAAUAGAGUGCUUAAGGCAAGCAUUCUGCUUGAAUAUCUCAGCAUGGAAUAAUAGAAAAAGACUUUCUAUUGGUUAGCCAGUGAAAGUAAUGAUUAACAGAGACAGACGGGGGCAUUCGUAUUGCACCGCUAGAGGUGAAAUUCGUAGACCGGUGCAGGACGAACUACAGCGAAAGCAUUUGCCAAGGAUGUUUUCAUUAAUCAAGAACGACAGUUGGAGUAUCGAAGUCGAUUAGAUCUCGUCGUAGUUCCAACUAUAAACGAUGCCAACUAGCACUCCGCUAAUAAUGUUUGUUACAUUAGCGGGUGGCUUCCGGGAAACCAAAGUCUUUGGGCUCCGGGGGAAGUAUGGUUGCAAAGCUGAAACUUAAAGGAAUUGACGGAAGGGCACCACCAGGAGUGGAGCCUGCGGCUCAAUUUGACUCAACACAGAAAAACUCACCCGGGCCGAACACAGUAAGGAUUGACAGAUUGAUAGCUUUUUCUUGAUACUGUGGGUAGUGGUGCAUGGCCGUUGUUGGUUGGUGGAGUGAUCUGUCUGGUUAAUUCCGAUAACGAACGAGACUCAAGCCUGCUUAUAAGUUGGUCGAUUCUGGUCGAACAACUACUUAGAGGGAUCAGUGUAUAAAACACUUGAAAAUGAGCAAUAACAGGUCUGUGAUUGCCCUUAGACGUUCGGGGCUGCACGCGCGCUACAAUGAAGAAAGCAGUGGGUGACUUGCUUGAGAAGGCAAGCCAAACCUUAAAAUU